GUCAGAUCCAGGAAGGUCGAAGCUGUCCACGGUGGCCCCUGUGGCACCAUGGGAGUGGCAGUGUCUCCUGUCUCCGUUGCCUGUCAGCCACUGCCAGGCCCGACUGGACUUCCCAUUUCCGAAGACUCCUCCAGGCCAGUGGAGCGGAGCAGGGCAAGAC